AGCGAACGCUGGCGGCAGGCCUAACACAUGCAAGUCGAACGAUCCUUCGGGAUAGUGGCGGACGGGUGAGUAACACGUGGGAACGUGCCCUUUGGUUCGGAACAACUCAGGGAAACUUGAGCUAAUACCGAAUGUGCCCUUCGGGGGAAAGAUUUAUCGCCAUUGGAGCGGCCCGCGUCUGAUUAGCUAGUUGGUGAGGUAAUGGCUCACCAAGGCGACGAUCAGUAGCUGGUCUGAGAGGAUGAUCAGCCACACUGGGACUGAGACACGGCCCAAACUCCUACGGGAGGCAGCAGUGGGGAAUCUUGCGCAAUGGGCGAAAGCCUGACGCAGCCAUGCCGCGUGAAUGAUGAAGGUCUUAGGAUUGUAAAAUUCUUUCACCGGGGACGAUAAUGACGGUACCCGGAGAAGAAGCCCCGGCUAACUUCGUGCCAGCCGCCGCAGUAAUAC
rnacentral:rRNA from 1 species